UACGGGGGGGGUAAGCGUUGUUCGGAAUUACUGGGCGUAAAGGGCUCGUAGGCGGCCAACUAAGUCAGACGUGAAAUCCCUCAGCUUAACUGGGGAACUGCGUCCGAUACUGGAUGGCUUGGAUUCGGGAGAGGAAUGCGGAAUUCCAGGUGUAGCGGUGAAAUGCGUAGAUAUCUGGAGGAACACCGGUGGCGAAGGCGGCAUUCUGGACCGACAUUGACGCUGAGGAGCGAAAGCCAGGGGAGCAAACGGG
rnacentral:rRNA from 1 species